CCUACGGGUUGCAGCAGUGGGGAAUAUUGCACAAUGGGCGCAAGCCUGAUGCAGCCAUGCCGCGUGUAUGAAGAAGGCCUUCGGGUUGUAAAGUACUUUCAGCGGGGAGGAAGGUGUUGUGGUUAAUUACCGCAGCAAUUGGCGUUACCCGCAGAAGAAGCACCGGCUAACUCCGUGCCAGCAGCCGCGGUAAUACGGAGGGUGCAAGCGUUAAUCGGAAUUACUAGGCGUAAAGCGCACGCAGGCGGUCUGUCAAGUCGGAUGUGAAAUCCCCGGGCUCAACCUGGGAACUGCAUUCGAAACUGGCAGGCUAGAGUCUUGUAGAGGGGGGUAGAAUUCCAGGUGUAGCGGUGAAAUGCGUAGAGAUCUGGAGGAAUACCGGUGGCGAAGGCGGCCCCCUGGACAAAGACUGACGCUCAGGUGCGAAAGCGUGGGGAGCAAACAGGAUUAGAUACCCCAGUAGUC
rnacentral:rRNA from 1 species